rnacentral:rRNA from 1 species
UACGAAGGGGGCUAGCGUUGCUCGGAAUCACUGGGCGUAAAGCGCACGUAGGCGGGUCUUUAAGUCAGGGGUGAAAUCCUGGAGCUCAACUCCAGAACUGCCUUUGAUACUGAGGAUCUCGAGUCCGGGAGAGGUGAGUGGAACUCCGAGUGUAGAGGUGAAAUUCGUAGAUAUUCGGAAGAACACCAGUGGCGAAGGCGGCUCACUGGCCCGGUACUGACGCUGAGGAGCGAAAGCGUGGGGAGCGAACAGG